rnacentral:rRNA from 1 species
UAACACAUGCAAGUCGAACGAUAUAGUGGCAGGCGGGUGAGUAACGCGUGGGAACGUACCUUUCACUACGGAAUAGCUCUUGGAAAUGAGUGGUAAUACGGUAUACGCCCUUCGGGGGAAAGAUUUAUCGGUGAAAGAUCGGCCCGCGUUAGAUUAGCUAGUUGGUAGGGUAAUGGCCUACCAAGGCGACGAUCUAUAGCUGGUCUGAGAGGAUGAUCAGCCACACUGGGACUGAGACACGGCCCAGACUCCUACGGGAGGCAGCAGUGGGGAAUCUUGCACAAUGGGCGAAAGCCUGAUGCAGCCAUGCCGCGUGAAUGAUGAAGGCCUUAGGGUUGUAAAAUUCUUUCGCUAGGGAUGAUAAUGACAGUACCUAGUAAAGAAGCCCCGGCUAACUUCGUGCCAGCAGCCGCGGUAAUACGAANGGGGCUAGCGUUGUUCGGAAUUACUGGGCGUAAAGCGCACGUAGGCGGACUUUUAAGUCAGAUGUGAAAUCCCGGGGCUCAACCUCGGAACUGCAUUUGAAACUGGAAGUCUAGAGACCAGGAGAGGUUAGCGGAAUACCGAGUGUAGAGGUGAAAUUCGUAGAUAUUCGGUGGAACACCAGUGGCGAAGGCGGCUAACUGGACUGGUACUGACGCUGAGGUGCGAAAGUGUGGGGAGCAAACAGGAUUAGAUACCCUGGUAGUCCACACCGUAAACGAUGAGAGCUAGUUGUUGGCAGGCAUGCCUGUCGGUGACGCAGCUAACGCAUUAAGCUCUCCGCCUGGGGAGUACGGUCGCAAGAUUAAAACUCAAAGAAAUUGACGGGGGCCCGCACAAGCGGUGGAGCAUGUGGUUUAAUUCGAAGCAACGCGCAGAACCUUACCUACCCUUGACAUACCGAUCGCGGUUUCCAGAGAUGGAUUCCUUCAGUUAGGCUGGAUCGGAUACAGGUGCUGCAUGGGCUGUCGUCAGCUCGUGUCGUGAGAUGUUGGGUUAAGUCACGCAACGAGCGCAACCCUCAUCCUUAGUUGCCAUCACGUUUGGGUGGGCACUCUAAGGAAACUGCCGGUGGUUAGCCGGAGGAAGGUGGGGAUGGCGUCAAGUCCUCAUGGCCCUUACGGGUAGGGCCACACACGUGCUACAAUGGCGGUGACAAUGGGUUAAUCCCCAAAAACUGUCUCAGUUCGGAUUGUCGUCUGCAACUCGACGGCAUGAAGGUGGAACCGCUAGUAAUCGUGGAUCAGCAUGCCACGGUGAAUACGUUCCCGGGCCUUGUACACACCGCCCGUCACAUCAUGGGAAUUGGUUCUACCCGAAGACGCUGUGCUAACUUCGGAGGCAGGCGGCCACGGUAGGAUCAGUGACUGGGAUG